rnacentral:rRNA from 1 species
UACGUAGGGUGCAAGCGUUGUCCGGAAUUAUUGGGCGUAAAGAGCUCGUAGGCGGUUUGUUGCGUCGGCUGUGAAAUCCCGAGGCUCAACCUCGGGUCUGCAGUCGAUACGAGCAAACUAGAGUGUUGCAGGGGAGACUGGAAUUCCUGGUGUAGCGGUGAAAUGCGCAGAUAUCAGGAGGAACACCAAUGGCGAAGGCGACUUGCUGGACUUGUAGUGACGCUGGAGAACGCGAAAGCGUGGGGAGCAAACAGG